CAAUGAUCAAAAUUCCUUCACUAGAGAGCUGUAUGUUCAAAUAUGUCAAUGAGAAUACUCCCAAGGACAGUUGCAUGCACAUUGGACACAUGGAUGCAAGAAACCUGAGCUGGAAGAGAGAGAUUCAGGUGCAGUGCUCCAGGGAGAGAGAUGAUUUUGGCCUGAGUCCUUGGGUGAGAAUAAUUAGAAUCCCUCCCAUGUUCACAAUAUCUAUUAACUAAAAAUGGUUAUAAAUAGAAAUGAGAAAUAAACUUUUAUUG